UACGUAGGGGGCGAGCGUUGUCCGGAAUCAUUGGGCGUAAAGCGCGUGUAGGCGGCCCGGUAAGUCCGCUGUGAAAGUCCAGGGCUCAACCCUGGGAUGCCGGUGGAUACUGUCGGGCUCGAGUCCGGAAGAGGCGAGUGGAAUUCCUGGUGUAGCGGUGAAAUGCGCAGAUAUCAGGAGGAACACCAAUGGCGAAGGCAGCUCGCUGGGACGUUACUGACGCUGAGACGCGAAAGCGUGGGGAGCAAACAGG
rnacentral:rRNA from 1 species